GGAUCGAACCCUCAACCUCAUGGCUCCUAGUUGGAUUCGUUAACCACUGUGCUACGACGGGAACUCCAGAACUACUCUGAACUUCUUAACCCAGAAGGCUAGGAGAUAUUGUCCCCAGUGUUCAGAAGAGCACACUGAGGCACAGAGAAGUGAGGUGACUUUGUCCAGACUGCACAGCUGAUAUUUUGGGGAUGCCGAUCAUGUGCCAAACAUUGACAUUGGUACUACAGCAAAUUCAGAGAUAGGCACUGUGUCUAUCUGGUCAUCACUGUAUCCUCAGUACGCAAGACAAGUUCCCGGCACAGAGUGGACACGCCAUCACUAUGUAUUGCAUGAAUAAACAGAUGAAUGUUCACGACCUUA